AGAGUACGUGAAACCGUUCAGGGGUAAACCUGAGAAACCCGAAAGGUCGAAAGGGGAGAUUCAGCGUGUCUCGAUUGCGGCGCUGGACGGUCGUGCGACGGAAGACGUACGCGUCAUCCGCACCUUCCGUUCUCCGAACCGUAGUCGAACGCGUGCACUUCUCCCCCUGUAGGACGUCGCGAUCCGUUGGGUGCCGGUCUAAGGCCCGCAAUGGAGCCCGUUCGGACGGUUUACCGUUCCGGACGAACUUGCGGUGUUUCCCGGUCGGCUCGCUCGACGGUAUACAGAUGGCGCGGGGCCGCUACACAUUAGUUAGCGUCCGACCGGCGGCAAGCGCGCUCGUCGUGACGGUGAUCGGACCUGGUGCCGGUCCUGUCCCCGAGUGGCUGUUCGCUGCCGUGUUCUCGGACAGACCUCGUCGAAACGCCGAUCUGCGACGCUAUAGCUUUGGGUACUUUCAGGACCCGUCUUG
rnacentral:rRNA from 1 species